AGAGCGAACGCUGGCGGCAGGCUUAACACAUGCAAGUCGAGCGGGCGUAGCAAUACGUCAGCGGCAGACGGGUGAGUAACGCGUGGGAACGUACCUUUUGGUUCGGAACAACCCAGGGAAACUUGGGCUAAUACCGGAUAAGCCCUUACGGGGAAAGAUUUAUCGCCGAAAGAUCGGCCCGCGUCUGAUUAGCUAGUUGGUGAGGUAAUGGCUCACCAAGGCGACGAUCAGUAGCUGGUCUGAGAGGAUGAUCAGCCACAUUGGGACUGAGACACGGCCCAAACUCCUACGGGAGGCAGCAGUGGGGAAUAUUGGACAAUGGACGCAAGCCUGAUCCAGCCAUGCCGCGUGAGUGAUAAAGGCCCUAGGGUUGUAAAGCUCUUUUGUGCGGGAAGAUAAUGACGGUACCGCAAGAAUAAGCCCCGGCUAACUUCGUGCCAGCAGCCGC
rnacentral:rRNA from 1 species